UGUAGGGAAUAUUAUAAAAGACCGAAUUUUCUGGCAGCUUGUGAUCAAGGCUUUGAUACACCAGACAUGCUGCCACAGGAGGAGGAAGG